GUAUAUAGCCUCUCUACUGUAUAUAGCCUCUCUACUGUAUAUAGCCUCUACUGUUAUUUUUCACUGUCUUUUUACUGUUGUUUUUAUUUCUUUACUCAUCUAUUGUUCACCUAUUACCUUAUUUUUUACUUAAAAAUUGCACUGUUGGUUAUAGCCUGUAAGUAAGCAUUACACUGUAUUCCGCGAACGUGACAAAUAAACUUUGAUUUGAAGUUGUAUAUUCUUCAAAGUUGUUUAUUAAUUUCACCAACGUCAACACGUGCACCGAUACAUGUGAUACUAAAAAUAGCAACAAAAAAACAACAAUUCUGAUGCAUCCUUGAACCUAUAUAACAUUACCGCCUGCGCUUAGAUUUACCAUUGCGUUAGGUUAGUUGAAAUAGAGGCCUUUCUUUCUCUCUCUCUUUCUUUCAUUCUCACUGGCAGCUGAGUUUUCUUGACCUGAUGGUAGCUUGGCCUGUGAGCAACCUUUGUCUCUUUUCAUCUCUGUCUGUGUGACAUAAACAAUCUAUCUUUUACACCUCAGACUCUUUCCACGGGUGCACACACACACACACACACACACACACACACACACACACAAAUGAACAAAUGAAGGCACACCACCACAAGCAGUGUUUGCUAUUAAUUACGGCACGUCUGCAAUUUUAAUCACGCCAUUAUACCGUUAAAUAUGAACAAAAUGAAAAAUACUAACAAAAACAAAGGGAAGUAAUUAGGCCUGAUCAUUAUUUUUUAUUAAUUGCUAGCUACACAAUCCCUGCUUCUCUCGCUUUCUGAUCUAUCUUCUCUGUCUUCUAACAUAUCUUCUCUCUCUUUCUGAUCUAUCUUCUGUCUUUCGCUCUCUUUCUAAUCGAUUUUCUCUCUCCUCUCUCUUUUUAAAUCUAUCUUCUGUAUUUAUGUUUCAAGUCAUCAUUAGCAGUCCAUUCCAACAGUGUCACUCAGUGUGUUAGAGUAUUGAGCCUGCUGGUUGGUUUAUGACUAAACCCAGCAGAAUUUGAACAGCGUUACUGACUGUAGGCCAGGUCAGGCCUUAGCAGGCCAGUUAGUGUUUUCUGCUGAUUUGUUUGGCUUAGCCAGACAUAGAUAAAUGUUGACAGAAUCCAAGCUGGUAAACACAAUACCUGCCAUGUCCCAGGUUCAAAACAUUAGUCAGAGUAAAGACAAAGAUCAAGGCAUGACACACUACAUGAACAAAAGCAUGUGGACACCUCCUCGUCUAACAUCUCAUUCCAAAAUCAUGGGCAUUAAUAUGGAGUUGGUCCCCCUUUGCUGCUAUAACAGCCUCCACUCUGCUGGGAAGGCUUUCCACUAGAUGAUGGAACAUUGCUGUCGGGACUUGUUUCCAUUCAGCCACAAGAGCAUUAGUGAGGUCAGGCACUGAUGUUGGGCGAUUAGGCCUGGCUCGUAGUCUGCAUUUCAAUUCCAGAUCCGUCCGUCGUACUGCCAGAUGGUGAAGCGUGAUUCAUCACUCCAGAGAACACGUUUCCACUGCUCCAGAGUCCAAUGUCGGUGAGCUUUCCACCACUCCAGACGAUGUUUGGCGUUACGCACGGUGAUCUUAGGCUUGUGUGAGACACUGCUGAAGUCCCUGACUAACAGUUCUUGUGCUGAUGUUGCUUCCAGAGGCAGUUUGGAACUCAGUAGUGAGAUGUGGAUUUUUACUCUCUUUGCGCUGCUGCACUCGAUGUUCCCGUUCUGUGAGCUUGUGUGGCCUACCACUUCGCGGCUGAGCCGUUGUUGCUCCUAGACGUUUCCACUUCACAAUAACAGCACUUACAGUUGACCGGGGCAGCUCUAGCAGGGCAGAAAUUUGACGAACUGACUUGUUGAAAAGGUGGCAUCACAUGAAGGUGCCACGUUGAAAGUCAAUGAGCUCUUCAGUAAGACCAUUCUACUGCCAAUGUUUGUCUAUGGAGAUUGCAUGGCUGUGUGCUCGAUUUUAUACACCUGUCAGCAACGGGUGUGGCCGAAAUAGUCAAAUCCACUAAUUUGAAGGGGUGUCCACAUACUUUUGUAUAUAUAGUGUAAGUGCCCUCAUACAGACAGUAUAAUCAUUGAUUUUAAAACAAAAAUGGGUGUGAAAAAGAGCUCCGGAAUAAAAACCGAUCUUAAGUCCCGUGAGAGUGGGUUGUUGUGGGUUUGCUUACCCGUUUAGUCUUGUCUGAGUAAGAGCCCUUUCAUUAAAGUAUGUUACUCUAUUGCACCACUGUGGUGGAUUUGAUGAAGGCUUUUGAUCGUAGAGUAGAAAUAUUUGGUUUCUGCUUCUGAAGAACUCCAUUAAUGAUUGGUUAAGUAUCAAACCCUGGUGAAACCCACAGCCUUGUGUUGGGCCUACAGAGAUUCAGCCUUAAACCAGAGGUGACUCAAUAAGGGCUGUCUUUCUAAAGGGGACAAGUAUGUGUGUGUCACAGAGCUGUCUCUAUCACUGGUCUGUCUCUGGUCUGUCUCUGUCUCUGGUCUGUCUCUGUCUCUGGUCUGUCUCUGGUCUGUCUCUGUCUCUGGUCUGUCUCUGUCUCUGGUCUGUCUCUGGUCUGUCUCUGGUCUGUCUCUGUCGCUGGUCUGUCUCUGGUCCGUGUCGAUCUCUAUCACUGGUCUGUCUCUGGUCUGUCUCUGUCUCUGGUCUGUGUCGAUCUCUAUCUCUGGUCUGUCUCUGUCGCUGGACUGUCUCUGUCUCUGGUCUGUCUCUGGUCUGUCUCUGUCUCUGGUCUGUCUCUGUCGCUGGUCUGUCUCUGGUCCGUGUCGAUCUCUAUCACUGGUCUGUCUCUGGUCUGUCUCUGUCUCUGGUCUGUGUCGAUCUCUAUCUCUGGUCUGUCUCUGUCGCUGGACUGUCUCUGUCUCUGGUCUGUCUCUGGUCUGUCUCUGGUCUGUCUCUGUCUCUGGUCUGUCUCUGUCUCUGGUCUGUCUCUAUCUCUGGUCUGUCUCUAUCUCUGGUCUGUCUCUAUCUCUGGUCUGUCUCUGUCGCUGGACUGUCUCUGUCUCUGGACUGUCUCUGGUCUGUCUCUGGUCUGUCUCUGUCUCUGUCUCUGGUCUGUCUCUGGUCUGUCUGUCUCUGGUCUGUCUCUGGUCUGUCUCUGGUCUGUCUCUGUCUCUGGUCUGUCUCUGUCUCUGGUCUGUCUGUCUCUGGUCUGUCUCUGGUCUGUCUCUGGUCUGUCUCUGUCUCUGGUCUCUGUCUCUGGUCUGUCUCUGGUCUGUCUCUGUCUCUGGUCUGUCUCUGUCUCUGGUCUGUCUCUGUCUCUGUCUCUGUCUCUGGUCUGUCUCUGGUCUGUCUCUGUGUCUCUCUCUCCAUCUCUGGUCUGUCUCUGUCUCUGUGUCUCUGUCUCCAUCUCUGGUCUGUCUCCAUCUCUGGUCUGUCUCCAUCUCUGUCUCUGUCUCCAUCUCUGCUCUGUCUCUGUCUCUGUCUGUGUAUCUGUCUCCAUCUCUGGUCUGUCUCCAUCUCUGGUCUGUCUCUGUCUCUGUCUCUGGCCAUGUUAGAACAGUCCCGUGACUCCUGUCGUGUCUAAAGACAAACAAACAAAAACCGGCUGUCAGAGAAUGAGUGCACAACUGAUAAAUUGUCGCUUAUAGAUCUGUCAGUCUGCCGGCAGUAACGUUGAAGGUGUCUGGCUAGUAUUACUGAGCCAGCUAGAAAGAUGAAGUAAGAAGCUAACAUUAAACAAAGCCUACCUCAUCAGGAGCAAAAAAAUAGGCUACUAAGUUUUCAUAGUAACUUUACUCUACAGAGAGCAGGCUACUGAGACAGACAGUGAUGUUGCACUCAGUGAUGAGGCUGAGGCAGACUACAAUGCAUUCAGGAGAAAGAAGAAGAGGAGGCAGACGGAGAGUAAGCAGACAGAGAGGUUAGUACAGUGGUUCCCAAACUUGGGGUCAGGAGCCCCGUGAGAAAAUCUGUACUAGCCCUUAUCGAACAAGCAAAAAAUAAAUAUGAACGUCUCCACAUGGCCUUUCUUCCAUAUCGUCCAACAUUAAAAUGUAACCAACACAACUCUAAAAACGUCAGACAUUUUCAGUUUGUCGCUGAUGCUACGUGUCAGUGUGAAUCAUUUCUCAUAUCUCCCCCCUUUCAGAGGUAUCACAUUACAACUGUAUAGCUAAUGGGCUAGGUGUUUGCAGAUGGCCUGAGGUGAAUGAAGCAGCCGAUGGGUUAAUGAUGUGUUGUUCUCCAAAUAGCAUUUCAAGGUAAUGAGCUUCACCCUUCCAGAACCAUACUUAAACUCAAAACCCCAGUUACAGCCUUGGGUGGGACGACCAGAGGGUGGAGUGGAGAGAUCCCUUCCUCUCUCAUCUUCUCUGCUGAGAGUGGAGAGGAGAGGGUGGGACGACCAGAGGGUGGAGUGGAGAGAUCCCUUCCUCUCUCAUCUUCUCUGCUGAGAGUGGAGAGGAGAGGGUGGGACGACCAGAGGGUGGAGUGGAGAGAUCCCUUCCUCUCUCAUCUUCUCUGCUAAGAGUGGAGAGGAGAGGGUGGGACGACCAGAGGGUGGAGUGGAGAGAUCUCUUCCUCUCUCAUCUUCUCUGCUGAGAGUGGAGCGGAGAGGGUGGGAUGACCAGAGGGUGGAGCAGAGAGAUCAUCUGCCCUGUAAGAGCCAUUAUUCACUGUGAAAAUGUACCUCGUCCACUUAGAACCUAAAACAGAGAAUGCUGUCAUUAAAAUUCCAAACAUUCCUCAAAAAAUAUCCCACAUGAAAGGACAGGACACUGCUGACAGGACACUGAUGACAGGACACUGAUGACAGGACACUGCCGAU
ensembl:lncRNA